UGUUAUUUCCUCAUAGUAAUGCAUACAGUAAUGUAUAAUAUAUUCAAUAUGUUUAAUUGCUGGCAAAUCAAUUUGUUUUAAAAGGUAUUAAUUCUUCUCACAAUCCUCUUAGUAUUUCCUGGUUACACACACUGUAUUCUUAAGCAUUAGUCUUGUAAGCAUUAGAGUUCAAAGAAAAGAGAGACAAGAUGUAUAUUGACUUACAGUGACCAUAUUCUAGUAUGAGAAUACUCAACUCAUUCAAUUGUUUCUAAGGUAGUCUAGAUGGAUAUAUGCCUGCCUUCAUUUUUUGGUUCAGUUUUGGCUUUCCUUUCAUAACACAACUGUUCUCCCUAGUUUUUAAGAUGUGAAGGUCAAAGAGAGGUGAAGCUGAAUGGUGCUGGGAAUCUGAGAUGCAAAUAAGUUUCAGAUAAUCCAUGUGAUGCUUAGAGGCCAUCUAGUUUCACAGAGCCAUUAGCAUUCAGGGACGCUCAUUAGCACUCAGGCAGGCAGUCAGUACGCAUUAGCAAAAUGAGAUGUGUUGAUUAAAGUUACAAAUUAUGUGUUGAAUGUUUAGACUUCAAACCAUGGUAGCUUCACAUUUAUGAGAGUGUAUUUCUAUAUUUUCACAUUAAAAAAAUGUUGACUCUUUCUAAUCUUCAGUGCUUUUUUGGUGUGUGUGAGAAUGUGUUUGCAUGUGUUUGUGUGUAUGGGAGGAGAAAGAAGUGAAUGCAAUGAUAGAAGAGAAGGUGAGAAGUUAAAGCAAUUUCAAUAUUUGAUGUUUUUGUUUGAAGUGCCUUUGAAAAUCUUACAGUUAGGACUCUCACUGCUCUGAUUUUAAAGUAAGAAACAACAUCAAAAAUAUUAAAGACACUAGGAAGAUUUUAACCUUUAAUCUGUGUUAUCAUAUGUAGUGUCCCAUUUAUUUAAUGAGCUGUAGAAACUAACAAUUCAAAAAAUUCUGACUCAUAUUUCAAGAAAUAAUCAGUGUGUAUUAUCUGAUAAUAAUGCAGUAGGAUCUUGCUAAAAACCAUAGGAUUAUGUGGAAAGCAAUGAUAUAGUAGUUUAAUGUCUAUAUUAUUUAAUUUUUAUCACUAUAUCAUGCUCGUAUUGCAUAGGUCUAUCUUGUGUAAGCAAAAUAAAAAUGGAUGCUAUACUUAACAUUAGGCCAUCAGCAUUUUGCAUAGCAUUGGUAAAAUUUAUCACCUUUUUUGUGCAUUGUGUAUUACUGCAGACAUUCUAGAAUUGCUACCUUAAGCAAACAUAGCAUGCCACCCCAACACUUGUAGUUCUGUCAAAGGGUCUGGGAAGACCAAUUAUUAUGCAGAUGACUGUAUUAGAUGAAAACAAGUUAUGCAAUGCUGCUAUUGUGAAAGUGACUUAUUUGCAGGACUAAUAAGGAAGUACUUUACUUGCAUUCUUUUCUGGGAAACUUUGUCUAAUAUCUGCAGCUGAAAGGAACCACAGAGAAGGUAAGAAUUAUUCUGAGCAUGAGUCAGCACAGAAUUUCUUUGUUUUCUGGGUCUGAUUUGAAUACUCUAAAUCCAGAUGUUGCUUUUGGGAGGAGAAAGGUCUUGCCAUAUUACUCAACAAAAAGGUCCUUGUGGGGAAAACCUUGCUGUGGGUGCAGAUCAUCUCUGAACACGAGAUAUUGUAUUGAAAAACAGCAUAAUGUAACUUCUGUUUUUCUUUUUCUGAUUGUGUUGCCUUAAGAAUGUUCUUAGUGGGCUGGAUGGAAGUGUCAACUCAAUAUCAGAUGUUGAGUUCAACUCAGUACUUUCCUUUUGACAUUGAUGUCUCUGUUCCUGGGCAUCACUUGGCAGCAUUCAUCAGCUGCUUGGGUUGCUGUCAGGAAUGCUCUGUUUUACAUCCCUCACUAGUUCCCUUGCUAUUGCACUUUUGAUGCUCUGAUCUCUUCCUUUAGUUCAUUUGUUGUAGUCUGGCUCAUUUGGAUUUUCCAUUUUGUUUUCUGUAGCUGUCUUGCUCUCUGUAAGGAGUUUGAGUUUGGGAGAAAUCCUCAUUGGCAGCAAACAGGGGAGAGUAUUUGAGAUGUGAUAGGCAGGAUGCUUAGUCCAGAAUUACCAUUCAUGCUUUGUUUCUAUAUGUUAUUUCCUCCUUGAAGUAGUCUUUUACCUGGUAUAUUUACAUUGAUAACAGAACCUGUUUCCUACUUGGGAUCCUCUUCUUAAGUUCAUAAUGUUUCUGUUUUGGUUUGUGUUUGGUGGUUAUUUUGGUUAUUUUUUAUUUUCAUCACUUGUAUCUGCAUUACUUGAACUCCAGAUUCUAUGUUUCAGAGAGAAGUCUGUUUGUUUCAAGCUUAUUCCUUGGGUAAUGCAACAAAGAUAUCUGCCAACAUGAGGUGCUGAAAACAUAGAAUUAAAAAGAGACAAAGUACAAGAUGUUAUUCAGCUGUUUUCCAGGGUGUGCCACUGUUAGUGAAGAUUUCUGAGACAGGAAUAAGCAUGGCUGGAGUGAAUUCCUGUUGUUACCCAUCUUUACUGAAGAGGAUCUGUCACUAAUCCAGGGGAGCACAGGUUGUUGUCCUAUAAAGCUGUUCAAGUUCCUCUCUUCACAAGAACAUCUUCCUGCUUUCCCUGCUGCCUAUAAACAUUAUGUUAGAGCGAGAUGAAGGAUGGAACAGAUGGCUGAGCAAAAUAAACAUCUGUAAGUGAACUGUUAAACGUGUGUGACAGUGUAAAGGGAAGCAUGGACAUCAAUACUUAUCCACAAACUAUUUCUGAGGGAAGAUUGGAAAAAUUUUGAUUUAACACAUAAAUCGGUAGAAAUAUGCUGAGAACUGACAAAAAAAAAGAAGAAAUCACUGGCUAUUUCAGUAGUCAGUAAUGAGUGAUCUGCUGUGCCCCAUACUACACAAAAACCUGUAGGCAUAUCUGUUCAGGAUCAUGGGAUUUCUUUUAUAAUCAUUUUAAGGUAAGAAUUCCUGUAAGCUAAGACAAAGACGAGGUUGUGGAAUAAUUUAUGCUUUUGGCUCUUGGAAAAUUAUUGGAGACUAUUUACUCAUAUUUGGUGGUUACUACUUGGAUGAUGGGGAGGAAGUUUUUUCUUUGUUCUAAGCACACUAGAAGGAACAGAGGAUUUUCUUACUUUUUUAUUUUCUGUCUGUUUUUCUAAUGAAUGUAAUGUGAACUUUGAGCUUUAUACAAAUAUAUGACAGUCUGCAAGCCUGGAGUCUCUACUUCUAUAAUUGUUGUUUGAUUCAACAGUUAUAGAUAUGCACAAUAAUAAAAGUUAUUAGCAGUGAAAAAUAAUGUAAAUUGCAUAAUCUCACAUUUUAAAAUUUUAAGAUAAAACCCUCUUGUGAUAAAUAAACUUCUUAGAACUUG